CCUACGGGUGGCAGCAGUGGGGAAUAUUGCACAAUGGGGGGAACCCUGAUGCAGCGACGCCGCGUGAGUGAAGAAGUAUUUCGGUAUGUUAAGCUCUUUCGGACGUGACGAUGAUGACGGUAGCGUCUAAAGCAGCACAGGCAAACUUCGUGCCAGCAGCCGCGGUAAUACGAAGGGUGCGAGCGUUGUUCGGAAUUACUGGGCGUAAAGGGAGUGUAGGCGGAGUUAUAAGGUAGCGGGUAAAUGCCGGGGGUCAACCCCGGAACUGCCAUUAUGACUAGGUACCUAGAGUAGGGGAGAGGAUAGCGGAAUGCGCGGUGUAGAGGUGAAAUGCGUAGAUAUCGGGUAGAACACCGAUGGCGAAGGCGGCAAUCUGGCCACUUACUGACGCUGAGGCACGAAAGUAUGGGGAUCGAACAGGAUUAGAUACCCGUGUAGUC
rnacentral:rRNA from 1 species